AGAGUUUGAUCAUGGCUCAGGAUGAACGCUAGCUACAGGCUUAACACAUGCAAGUCGAGGGGCAGCAUGUUGGUUGCUUGCAACCAAUGAUGGCGACCGGCGCACGGGUGAGUAACGCGUAUCCAACCUACCCUUGUCCAUCGGAUAACCCGUCGAAAGGCGGCCUAACACGAUAUGCGGUUCUCAGCAGGCAUCUAACGAGAACGAAAUGUGAAGGAGAAGGAUGGGGAUGCGUCUGAUUAGCUUGUUGGCGGGGUAACGGCCACAAGGCGAUGAUCAGUAGGGGUUCUGAGAGGAAGGUCCCCCANAUUGGAACUGAGACACGGUCCAAACUCCGUACGGGAGGCA
rnacentral:rRNA from 1 species